rnacentral:lncRNA from 1 species
GGGAUUUUGACAGAAGCCCCGGGAAAGGGAUGGCCGAUGGUGGUGCACACAGGACUAAAGCUUCACGUUACAGGGACUGAAGGGACCAGCAGGGGAUAGAUGAGAAAAACGGGCUGAGUCACACCUAGAAGGCCCUGAGGGUGAGAAGCAGGGUUUGGAUGUUGUCAUUGAGAUACCUUGAGCACACACGGCUACAGGCUGAACUUUGUGCUAAUGGGAAAAAUAAUACACCACUUUCUACAGUGACUAGAAGGCGGCCAGAGAGAAUCACCAGCACACCACCAGCACUCUGCUGCUAGUUUACAAAGCCCAGGCUCAUGCCCAGGUGUAGACUCAGUUCAGUGACCGACUUAACAUUAAAUAUUUUUUAGUAUUAUUAAUAUCAGGGACAUUAUCUAAUCCUCUUUGUCUCUUCUAACAAUGUUUUGUUUUGUUUUUUUUUUUGCUAUAUUUGUACUUUAUGCUUCUUUACCCCCAUUUCUUUGCAUAACAAAAAUACAUUUGAUAGGUGGGACAAGUCUGUGAUUUUUUAAAAAGUAAGAUGACUUUUUUUCUUUCUUUUACUAUGGGUUUGAAUUUCUGUCUUUCAGCUUCUGCAGUAUCUUGCACAGUAGGAAGUUUUAAUUUUCGUCCAGUGUAGAUGUGCGUCACUGGCACGCAGUGUGAAGAUGGGCAGCUUGGAAGAGUGGAGCAUAAAGCACAGAGGUGUGUUUGCAGAACUGUCUGGAGCAUUUGCUGCGUGUCAGGCUUGGUAGGACCUAGGGAUGUAGAGAAGAUGAUGAUGACAACGAUGAUGCUGGUACUGAUUACAGUGGUGGUGUGUUUCCUUUCUUACAAUGGCUGGAGGGUAUUUUUCUAGUGUAUGAAUAUACUGCAUUUAAUUUAUCAGUUUCCCUAUUCAUUCACAUUUAGGUUGUUCCAUAAUGUUUACUAAUUAUUCUAGUGAUUUAUGUGUAUUAACUGCUUUCAUCCUCACAAUAACCCUGUGAGGUUGGCAAUCUUGUUAUUGCCCCUAUUUUACAGAUGAGGAAAUUAAUACACAGAUCGUGAACCUGGGGUUUCAUCCUAGGAAGCCUGGCUCCAAAGACCACAUGUUCGAGAAUUCUACUCCCUCCACCCGCCUCAGAAAUAUUCACCAUCCUAAAGUCUUCAUAGGCUGAUAGCUUGACAUGUAAAUAAAACAAUUAUAGUACAAAAUAAUAAGAAACA